CCUACGGGAGGCAGCAGUAGGGAAUCUUGCGCAAUGGGCGAAAGCCUGACGCAGCCAUGCCGCGUGAAUGAUGAAGGUCUUAGGAUUGUAAAAUUCUUUCACCGGGGAAGAUAAUGACGGUACCCGGAGAAGAAGCCCCGGCUAACUUCGUGCCGGCAGCCGCGGUAAUACGAAGGGGGCUAGCGUUGCUCGGAAUUACUGGGCGUAAAGGGCGCGUAGGCGGAUAGUUUAGUCAGAGGUGAAAGCCCAGGGCUCAACCUUGGAACUGCCUUUGAUACUGGCUAUCUUGAGUUCGGGAGAGGUGAGUGGAAUGCCGAGUGUAGAGGUGAAAUUCGUAGAUAUUCGGCGGAACACCAGUGGCGAAGGCGACUCACUGGCCCGAUACUGACGCUGAGGCGCGAAAGCGUGGGGAGCAAACAGGAUUAGAUACCCUGGUAGUCCACGCUGUAAACGAUGAGUGCUAGUUGUCGGCAUGCAUGCAUGUCGGUGACGCAGCUAACGCAUUAAGCACUCCGCCUGGGGAGUACGGUCGCAAGAAUUAAAACUCAAAGGAAUUGACGG
rnacentral:rRNA from 1 species